rnacentral:misc_RNA from 1 species
GAUGAAGAACGUAGCGAAAUGCGAUAAGUAGUGUGAAUUGCAGAAUUCAGUGAAUCAUCGAAUCUUUGAACGCACAUUGCGCCCCUCGGUAUUCCGUGGGGCAUGCCUGUUCGAGCGUCACUUAACCCCUCAAGCCUAGCUUGGUAUUGGGUGCUUGUCCCGCCUCUCGCGCGGCGACUCACCUCAAAGUCAUUGGCAGCCCGCAUCUCGCCGGCCGUGAGCGCAGCACAGACGCGCUCUUGGCAACGACGGAUCGGCUCUCCAAAAGCUUAUUUCAACCACUGACCUCGGAUCAGGUAGGGAUACCCGCUGAACUUAAGCAUAUCAAUAAGCGGAGGA